UCGAGCGAACAGACGAGGAGCUUGCUCCUCUGACGUUAGCGGCGGACGGGUGAGUAACACGUGGAUAACCUACCUAUAAGACUGGGAUAACUUCGGGAAACCGGAGCUAAUACCGGAUAAUAUAUUGAACCGCAUGGUUCAAUAGUGAAAGACGGUUUUGCUGUCACUUAUAGAUGGAUCCGCGCCGCAUUAGCUAGUUGGUAAGGUAACGGCUUACCAAGGCAACGAUGCGUAGCCGACCUGAGAGGGUGAUCGGCCACACUGGAACUGAGACACGGUCCAGACUCCUACGGGAGGCAGCAGUAGGGAAUCUUCCGCGAUGGGCGAAAGCCUGACGGAGCAACGCCGCGUGAGUGAUGAAGGUCUUCGGAUCGUAAAACUCUGUUAUUAGGGAAGAACAAAUGUGUAAGUAACUAUGCACGUCUUGACGGUACCUAAUCAGAAAGCCACGGCUAACUACGUGCCAGCAGCCGCGGUAAUACGUAGGUGGCAAGCGUUAUCCGGAAUUAUUGGGCGUAAAGCGCGCGUAGGCGGUUUUUUAAGUCUGAUGUGAAAGCCCACGGCUCAACCGUGGAGGGUCAUUGGAAACUGGAAAACUUGAGUGCAGAAGAGGAAAGUGGAAUUCCAUGUGUAGCGGUGAAAUGCGCAGAGAUAUGGAGGAACACCAGUGGCGAAGGCGACUUUCUGGUCUGUAACUGACGCUGAUGUGCGAAAGCGUGGGGAUCAAACAGGAUUAGAUACCCUGGUAGUCCACGCCGUAAACGAUGAGUGCUAAGUGUUAGGGGGUUUCCGCCCCUUAGUGCUGCAGCUAACGCAUUAAGCACUCCGCCUGGGGAGUACGACCGCAAGGUUGAAACUCAAAGGAAUUGACGGGGACCCGCACAAGCGGUGGAGCAUGUGGUUUAAUUCGAAGCAACGCGAAGAACCUUACCAAAUCUUGACAUCCUCUGACCCCUCUAGAGAUAGAGUUUUCCCCUUCGGGGGACAGAGUGACAGGUGGUGCAUGGUUGUCGUCAGCUCGUGUCGUGAGAUGUUGGGUUAAGUCCCGCAACGAGCGCAACCCUUAAGCUUAGUUGCCAUCAUUAAGUUGGGCACUCUAAGUUGACUGCCGGUGACAAACCGGAGGAAGGUGGGGAUGACGUCAAAUCAUCAUGCCCCUUAUGAUUUGGGCUACACACGUGCUACAAUGGACAAUACAAAGGGCAGCGAAACCGCGAGGUCAAGCAAAUCCCAUAAAGUUGUUCUCAGUUCGGAUUGUAGUCUGCAACUCGACUAUAUGAAGCUGGAAUCGCUAGUAAUCGUAGAUCAGCAUGCUACGGUGAAUACGUUCCCGGGUCU
rnacentral:rRNA from 1 species